AUCGACCUGCGAAUGGCACUAGAAGAAUUCACGGGUUAUUUCAAGUCCCGUGUUCUUUCGGUGCCAUCCCCGGGGAAGA
rnacentral:pre_miRNA from 1 species